AUUUAUGGGAUGAAGGGUAGGGCGGGCGGAAGUGUGGAGACGUGACUGGAGGUGAGGAGAGAGGUGAUCAUGACCUGCGCGCAGAGUCAGGCUUCACGGCUCUUCUCAGGAUGGAUGUCCACAAAAUGGCGGCCUCACCAUGAUCUCAGGGUGGAGUUUUCAGCUCCUUGACAUCAAAGGGCCACUUAUCGGGCAUUUGUGCAGGCCCAGUUGAGGGGUUGGUGGUCUCAACCGGCCUGAAGUGGACAAGGGAGGACUCAGAUCCUGAAAACCACUCCUAAUUACUCUGUUGAUAAGAUGGUUUCUACCACGUUCCCCUUGACCUUCCCUUCUACAGCCUGGCCUGAUUCGGGGGUCACGAGGCAGGAGAACCAUGGGCAAGAGGGAGCUCGGAGUGCGUAAGAGUCACCAGGAGGAGGGGAUGGUGAAGGUGGCAGUGGGAGCAG
rnacentral:lncRNA from 1 species